rnacentral:rRNA from 1 species
CAAGUCGAACGCGAAAGUCCCCUUCGGGGGGCGAGUAGAGUGGCGCACGGGUGAGUAACACGUAGGUAAUCUACCUUCGGAUGGGGAAUAACAAUCGGAAACGGUUGCUAAUACCGCAUAAUGCAGCGGCACCUAAUGGUGUCAGUUGUUAAAGCGGGGGAUCGAAAGACCUCGCGUCUGAAGAGGAGCCUGCGGCGGAUUAGCUAGUUGGUAGGGUAACGGCCUACCAAGGCGACGAUCCGUAGCCGGCCUGAGAGGGCGGUCGGCCACACUGACACUGACAUACGGGUCAGACUCCUACGGGAGGCAGCAGUCGGGAAUUUUGGGCAAUGGGCGAAAGCCUGACCCAGCAACGCCGCGUGAAGGAUGAAAUCCCUCGGGAUGUAAACUUCGCAAGAACGGGAAGAAUAAGUCUGUGUGAACACCACAGACGAUGACGGUACCGUUUGUAAGCUCCGGCUAACUCCGUGCCAGCAGCCGCGGUAAUACGGGGGGAGCAAGCGUUGUUCGGAUUUACUGGGCGUAAAGGGCGCGUANGCGGCCACUGCAAGUCAGUUGUGAAAUCUCCGGGCUUAACUCGGAAAGGUCAACUGAUACUGCAGGGCUAGAGUGCGGAAGGGGCAACUGGAAUUCUCGGUGUAGCGGUGAAAUGCGUAGAUAUCGAGAGGAACACCUGCGGCGAAGGCGGGUUGCUGGGCCGACACUGACGCUGAUGUGCGAAAGCUAGGGGAGCGAACGGGAUUAGAUACCCCGGUAGUCCUAGCCUUAAACGAUGAAUGCUUGGUGUCUGGGGUUUUAAAGUCCCC